UCCGUAGGCGGGUUUAUAAGUCAGUGGUGAAAGUUUGCGGCUCAACCGUAAAAUUGCCAUUGAUACUGUAGACCUUGAAUUAGUGUGAAGUGGUUAGAAUGUGUAGUGUAGCGGUGAAAUGCAUAGAUAUUACACAGAAUACCAAUUGCGAAGGCAGAUCACUAACACUAUAUUGACGCUGAGGCACGAAAGCGUGGGUAGCGAACAGGAUUAGAUACCCUGGUAGUCC
rnacentral:rRNA from 1 species